rnacentral:rRNA from 1 species
UACGAAGGGGGCUAGCGUUGUUCGGAAUUACUGGGCGUAAAGCGCGCGCAGGCGGCUAUCCAAGUCCGUGGUGAAAGCCCGGAGCUCAACUCCGGAACUGCCAUUGAAACUGUUUAGCUUGAGGACGAGAGAGGUGAGUGGAAUUCCCAGUGUAGAGGUGAAAUUCGUAGAUAUUGGGAAGAACACCGGUGGCGAAGGCGGCUCACUGGCUCGUUUCUGACGCUCAGGCGCGAUAGCGUGGGGAUCAAACAGG